AUCGCUUCUCUGCCUUUUGGCUAAGAUCAAGUGUAGUACCUUUGGAACCACUUGGUCCUCUGGCUGGCAAGACCAAAGAGGAGUAUCUGUUCUUAUGAUCCUAUCUGAAGAACGGAGAAACCAUUGGUCCUCUGGACUAGGCUGACACUUCCUUUGCUCUUACCAUUAGGUGGGCGGGAAGUCUUUUC